GUGUCAUUCAGGACAGAAGGAGCUCCAGUCCCUUCCUGGAGCUGCAAACCCAAACAAGUUAAAGUGACGUUGUAUGUGAAGCUCGGCAUUUUUACAAUCUUGUAUUUAGUGCCACACAGUCAGAGCAGUGUCAUAUCUGAUCUCCUUAAUGGGAUGAUAAUGUGCUGUAGGAGUAUCUAUCUUCUCCUGCCAAGUGUCCAUGGCAUAUUUGAUGAACAGAUGGCCUUUGUCACACAUGGAUUGUGGAAGUUAUUCAGAAGCAGAUCCUCAGGUAUGAUACACCUCCUUUCUGUUCCUACUCUGCUUCCAUCCUAUCCCUCUGAGAUAAACAGCUUGAGUUGCCUACAAACUCUCUUCAGUCUUUCACAUCGAAAAGACUGGGUAAGGUUGUGGAUUUUUAUAACUUAUCAGGAUCAAUUUGUAGGCAUAUGAUUCUCUCAAGUGCUGAUGUUGCAAACAAAAUAUAAGCAUCAUUUACUUCUAUGGUGUUCUGAAGCUAUGACAUUAAAAAUUCUUCUGGGAAGUCCAAGAUGAUAAAAUAAUAGCAGUAAGAGCAAUGAAAAAUUGUAAUGAAAAAUUGGCAGAGUAAUAAAUGUACAUGGCAGGUCA
rnacentral:lncRNA from 1 species